UUGAAUUUACAUGUGUAUUAUGAUCAUAAUCAUUUAUAUUAUCCUACAACUAAAGCCGUAUAAGUGUGAUAAUAUAAUUGCAAAUUUUUAUAAUCUGUUUUCACAGUGCUUUGAAAGUCCAAUCAUUGUAGUUUUCAUGCCGUUGAAUUUUCUGGGAAAGGCUAACCAUACCCUUCGUUGAUUGCAUCUUUGAUUCUCUCCAAUAUAUUCCUUUUACUUAUGCUGUUAAUAAUUUGCCUCUCUGCAUUUUUAUUUUUAUUUUUUAUUAUUUGGGUCGUGUCACUGAAAGCCUGGGAAGGCUAACCUUUCCCUUCUGUUCAUGAUCGUGCCUUUCUUUCAUUAUUUUUUUACUUUAUGCAUUUUUAUUUUAUUCAAUACCAAAACACUUUUGGAUACAGUUUCUAAAUGACACAGCUGAUCAAUUUAAAAUACCAGUUUAUAACCCACAAAAAACCAGCGUGAUCUGAAACGUUUUAUACAAUUCGUGAACUGUGUGUGUGCGCCCAUCUUUAUCCAUUCAGAUAUUUUGACCCGUCCAAACCAUUUAUUUACGCAUAGGUCAACCAUACCUUUCAUUAUUAAUUGAUCUGUGGUUAUUGUACAGUGGUAUAGUUUAUCCUAUAUUUGUCAAAACUUUUGAGUGACAAACUUGUUUUAAUUUCUACAGUGUUGUAGCAAUCUUAUUUCUCUCUCACUUAGCAUUGUGGUUUAAACGAUUGAGAUUAGGGGUUUGCUCUAGAAUUAUCUGGGAAAAAAUUUUCUAAACUCAUCAGUUUUCUUGCCUGGUAAAUAUAGGCAUCAAAUGCCAACAAGAAUAAUGUAGUCUUGCAGAUCCUUCCUAGUACUAUAAAAUCCAUAUAUUAUUUGCUAAAUUUCGUUGUGAAUUGAUUGAGUUAUGAUCAUGUUAAACAAUGACUUAGAAUCUAAAAAUUCUGGACGAAAACAUGUUAAUUUGGGUUAAUUUGGGUUUCAGAUUCUAUAUCGUCAAAAGGGAAAAGUUAUGCUCUAUGCAGUUUUCUAUAUAUGCAUAUUGGUUUACCUAUAUGCAUAUAUUGCAUAUUUGAAUCUCUGCAUUUUUUCCGUAAAUAUUAUCACUACAGUCACAAUUUUUUGAAUAAAUGUGUUGUUAAUUGGUACCUAUAUGCAUAUCUACAAACGCAGAAAACGUUUUAAUUGCAUGGAUUUGUUUACUGUACAUUUUAUAAACACCUUACUUGUUUAAUUUUCCAAUUUGCAUUUGUAUGGCUUGAAUUCUAUGAGGAAAUAAUGUAUAUAUUUGUAUAGCACACAAUAACCAAUUGAUGUGAUUGCUUCUUCUUUCAACGAUCUUCUGAAGAUAGGUUUUCAAUAUUAAUUCUUGUUACGAUUAUAUGUGUUUGCAGACAUUGUCUCUAAACAUUCUCAUUAUUCUUCGAAUAAAAACCGAAUAUGCAUGAGUCUGCAUAUAUAAUUUUGUCUUGAAACAAAUUAAAUGUGCAUUGUGUU
rnacentral:lncRNA from 1 species